GUCUGAAUUCCAAAUUAGUGGGGGGUAGGUUAUAUGGAUCAACUUCUGUCUAUCUAUUUGAAUCCGCAUUGUGACAUGUCAAGAAGCUUUAUGCUGGUCAUCACCUUCUGCAACCCUUCUUUGUCCUGGCUUUGUUAUGAUCUAACCAAGGCUAUAUUCAUAUACAUGCAUGGUUAAUAAUAAUAUUCGUUAAUUGUUUGACACACUUCUCUCAAAA
rnacentral:misc_RNA from 1 species